GGGGUGGGGGGAGAGAUCGAGAGUUGCUCCGCGGUUGAAUGGAGGGAAUAACGCCAGAAAGGAACGGAAAGACUUAUGAGCCUUCACACGUUACACGUUAGGGAUCCGGGUCCCUUUUCCCCAAACACCCAAACCCCUCAACACCCCGUCACACACACGCACACACACACACUUUCCAUCUCUGAAAGUCACGCCGUUGUUUGGCAGUGAGGCCUCAUUCCUCCUGGUCAGCCAAGUGUUGUGUUAGUUGAGGUUAAUGUUGGGGCGCACACUGUACAGAUGAAGAAAUGAGCUCAGGGGACGCAAGCGACUAACCCAGGACCCCCCGCUUAUACUUCAAGAUAAAGGCAGAGUGGGAUUUGGGACAGAGGUCGGCCCUGACCAAAGUUGAGAAGGACCUUUGCCGUUGGCAGCCAGCGCUGCUCCCCUGGAAGCAAUUUCAACCCAUCAUGAGAGAAACUCCACAUCCUUUAGCAAUCACCUGCCUUCAACCCAUAGCAACCACGAACCUACUUUCUGUCUCUAUGGAUUUGCCGCGUAAAUGGAAUCCUAAAAUACGUGACCUGUUGCGCUCAAGGCUCACCCAUGUUAUGGGAUGUCCAUCAUCCCUUUUGGUGGCCAAAUAAUAUUCCGCUGUAUGGACGUACCACAUUGGUAUUCAUCAGUUGAAUGCAAAUUCUCCAUGACUCCGGCUCCCAGUUCACUGGCUUCCACGCUGCCUCUCAUCAUUCUCUGUGAUUUCCGCACCCAGGCAGGUGGCCCUCGAACCAUCCUGGCCUCUUGGUUCCAAGACCUCCUCUUCCCCCGGGACCUCGUCCUCCCCCCCAGCCCCUCCCUCCCAUGGGCGCCCCUACACCUCGUCUCAGUAACCGCAGCCUUUGAGAACUUCAGCUUCACGCAUCUCACCCACUGCCCAUCGUAGCCUGUCUUUCUAGUUCAUUCCCUCCAAAACCUCAACUCCAACAGUUCGCUGACCCUCCCAAUUUUCCUCUACCCCUCAGCCCCCUCAUAUCUUUACAGAGAUUAAAUUCCUUGACCAACAGAUGAUGAUCACCCCCUCACACACACUCUCUGCUUCCCCAUAUUCAUCUGUUGAAACUACAUUCCUUAUUAGAUCUAAGUCUCCACCUGUGCGGCUGAAUGUGGGUGGAGAAAAAUACACAACCCUGGUAACUGGCCUUGCCUUAACAUAUUUUUUUUUUUGAAUGUUUAUUUUUGAAAGAGACAGCAUGAGCGAGGGAGGGGCCGAGAGAGAGAGGGAGACACGGAAUCCGAAGCGGGCUCCAGGCUCCGAGCUGUCAGCACAGAGCCCGAGGCGGGGCUCGAACCCACAAGCUGUGAGAUCACGACCUGAGCCGAAGUCGG